rnacentral:rRNA from 1 species
AUUGAACGCUGGCGGCAUGCUUUACACAUGCAAGUCGAACGGCAGCGCGGGCUUCUGCCUGGCGGCGAGUGGCGAACGGGUGAGUAAUACAUCGGAACGUGCCCAGUAUUUGGGAUAGCUCGGCGAAAGCCGGAUUAAUACCGCAUACGACCUGAAGGUGAAAGCGGGGGAUCUUCGGACCUCGCGCUAUUGUAGCGGCCGAUGGCAGAUUAGCUAGUUGGUGGGGUAAAGGCCUACCAAGGCGACGAUCUGUAGCUGGUCUGAGAGGACGACCAGCCACACUGGGACUGAGACACGGCCCAGACUCCUACGGGAGGCAGCAGUGGGGAAUUUUGGACAAUGGGCGAAAGCCUGAUCGAGCAAUGCCGCGUGUGUGAUGAAGGCCUUCGGGUUGUAAAGCACUUUUGGCGGGAACGAAAAGGACUGUGCCAAUACCACGGUUCGAUGACGGUACCCGCAGAAUAAGCACCGGCUAACUACGUG